rnacentral:RNase_P_RNA from 2 species
UGCAUUGGCCGGUAGCUGCUUAACAAGUAGAGGAAAGUCCACGCUAGCACUUGCUGCGACGCAAGUAGUGUUCAUGCUAAGCCCAAUAAGCUUAGGCCUAGACGACUAGUGCCACAGAGACGAGAAUUGUGAAACGCGGUAAACUCCAUGAGCUAGAAACCCAAAUUUUGGUAGGGGAAUUUCGUUUUUGAAACUGAACAAAAACGAAAAAUCAUUUGAUUAGAUAAAUUACCGGCGCCUAAACAGGUACAGAACGUGGCUUAUAGAU